UAGGGAAUCUUCCGCAAUGGACGCAAGUCUGACGGAGCAACGCCGCGUGAGUGAAGAAGGAUUUCGGUUCGUAAAACUCUGUUGUUAGAGAAGAACAGCGCAUAGAGUAACUGUUAUGCGUGUGACGGUAUCUAACCAGAAAGCCACGGCUAACUACGUGCCAGCAGCCGCGGUAAUACGUAGGUAGCAAGCGUUGUCCGGAUUUAUUGGGCGUAAAGCGAGCGCAGGCGGUCAAUUAAGUCUGAUGUGAAAGCCCCCGGCUCAACCGGGGAGGGUCAUUGGAAACUGGUUGACUUGAGUGCAGAAGAGGAGAGUGGAAUUCCAUGUGUAGCGGUGAAAUGCGUAGAUAUAUGGAGGAACACCAGUGGCGAAGGCGACUCUCUGGUCUGUAACUGACGCUGAGGUUCGAAAGCGUGGGUAGCAAACAGG
rnacentral:rRNA from 1 species